rnacentral:snRNA from 1 species
AAGUGAUUUCGCUCUUUUAAUAUUUGCCUAGCAGGUGUUUCACCCCGUGGGAAGCCCCU